rnacentral:rRNA from 1 species
GAUGAACGCUAGCGGCAGGCUUAAUACAUGCAAGUCGAGGGGCAGCAUGAGUGUAGCAAUACAUUUGAUGGCGACCGGCAAACGGGUGCGGAACACGUACACAACCUUCCUAUAAGUGGGGAAUAGCCCAGAGAAAUUUGGAUUAAUACCCCGUAACAUAAUGAUGUGGCAUCACAUUAUUAUUAUAGCUACGGCGCUUAUUGAUGGGUGUGCGGCUGAUUAGAUAGUUGGCGGGGUAACGGCCCACCAAGUCUACGAUCAGUAGCUGAUGUGAGAGAAUGAUCAGCCACACGGGCACUGAGACACGGGCCCGACUCCUACGGGAGGCAGCAGUAGGGAAUAUUGGUCAAUGGACGCAAGUCUGAACCAGCCAUGCCGCGUGAAGGAUUAAGGUCCUCUGGAUUGUAAACUUCUUUUAUCUGGGACGAAAAAAGGCGAUUCUUCGUCACUUGACGGUACCAGAUGAAUAAGCACCGGCUAACUCCGUGCCAGCAGCCGCCGUAAUAC